GCGGCGGUCGUCUAGAGUAACAAUAUACGGAUAAUCUGGCGAGGACCCGAGCCUGCCACGCUCGCAACCCGGGUUCAAAUCCCGGCCGCCGCACCA
rnacentral:tRNA from 3 species